GAUGAACGCUGGCGGCGUGCCUAAUACAUGCAAGUCGAGCGAACAGACGAGGAGCUUGCUCCUCUGACGUUAGCGGCGGACGGGUGAGUAACACGUGGAUAACCUACCUAUAAGACUGGGAUAACUUCGGGAAACCGGAGCUAAUACCGGAUAAUAUAUUGAACCGCAUGGUUCAAAAGUGAAAGACGGUUUUGCUGUCACUUAUAGAUGGAUCCGCGCCGCAUUAGCUAGUUGGUAAGGUAACGGCUUACCAAGGCAACGAUGCGUAGCCGACCUGAGAGGGUGAUCGGCCACACUGGAACUGAGACACGGUCCAGACUCCUACGGGAGGCAGCAGUAGGGAAUCUUCCGCAAAGGGCGAAAGCCUGACGGAGCAACGCCGCGUGAGUGAUGAAGGUCUUCGGAUCGUAAAACUCUGUUAUUAGGGAAGAACAAAUGUGUAAGUAACUAUGCACAUCUUGACGGUACCUAAUCAGAAAGCCACGGCUAACUACGUG
rnacentral:rRNA from 1 species